UACAGAGGUCUCGAGCGUUGUUCGGAUUCAUUGGGCGUAAAGGGUGCGUAGGUGGCGUGGUAAGUCUGGUGUGAAAUCCCGGGGCUCAACCCCGGAACUGCACUGGAUACUGCCAUGCUUGAGUACUGGAGAGGAGAUUGGAAUUUACGGUGUAGCAGUGAAAUGCGUAGAUAUCGUAAGGAAGACCAGUGCGAAGGCGAAUCUCUGGACAGUUACUGACACUGAGGCAGCGAAGGCCAGGGAGCAAACGGG
rnacentral:rRNA from 1 species